UUUUCCAUUGAAUUUCUCCAUUUUAAAGACAUUUUCCCACAAAGUUCUUCCAUUUUCCCAUGGAAUUUCUCAAUUUUAACGAUAUUUCUUCCCUUUUUUCCACGGAAUUUCUCAAUUUUAAAGAUAUUUUACCUGGGAAUUUCCCAAUUUUAAGGACAUUUUUCUCUGGAUUUUCUCCAUUUUAAGGACAUUUCUGCUGGUUUUUUUUUUUCUGGAAUUUCCCAAUUUUAAGAACAUUUUUCUCUGGAUUUUCUCCAUUUCUUAGGACAUUUUUUCAUGAAAUUCCUCCAUUUUAAGGACAUUUUCCCACGGAAUUCCUCCAUUUUCCCAUGGAAUUUCCCAGUUUUAAGGACAUUUUUCUCUGGAUUUUCUCCAUUUCUUAGGACAUUUUUUCCUGGAAUUUCUCCAUUUUAAGGACAUUUUUCCUGGGAUUUUCUCCAUUUGAAGGACCUUUCUGCUGGUUUUUUUCUGGAAUUUCUCCAUUUUAAGGACAUUUUUCCAUGGAAUUUCUCAAUUUUAGAGAUAUUUUACCUGGGAAUUCCCCAGUUUUAAGGACAUUUUUCUCUGGAUUUUCUUCAUUUCUUAGGACAUUUUUUCAUAGAAUUUCUCCAUUUUAAGGACAUUUUCCCAUGGAAUUCCUCCAUUUUAAAGACAUUUUUUCCCACGGAAUUUUUCCAUUUCAAGUCCAUUUUUCCUGGUUUUUUUUCUGGAAUUCCUCCACUCCCGGCCCAUUUUCCAUGGAAUUUCUCCAUUUUAAAGAUAUUUUACCUGGGAAUUCCCCAAUUUUUUGCCACAGAAUUUUUCCUGUUUUUUUUUUCUGGAAUUCCUCCAUCCAUAUUUCCCCUUUUUUCCCCGGAAUUUCCGAAUUUUCCAUGGAAUUUCUCAAUUUUCAAGACAUUUUCCCACGGAAUUUCUCCAUUUUAAGGACCUUUUUUCCCACGGAAUUUUUCCAUUUCAAGUCCAUUUUUCCUGGGGUGUUUUUUUCCGGAAUUCCUCCAUCCAGAUUUCCCAUUUUUUCCCCGGAAUUCCCAAAUUUUCCAUUGAAUUUCUCCAUUUUAAGGACAUUUUCCUAUGGAAUUCCUCAAUUUUAAAGACAUUUCCCCAUGGAAUUUCUCAAUUUUUCCACGGAAUUCCUCCAUUUUAAGGACAUUUUUUCCCAUUUUUCCCACACGAAUUUUUCCAUUCCAAGUCCAUUUUUCCUGGGGUGUUUUUUUCCGGAACUCCUCCAUCCACAUUUCCCAUUUUUUCCCCGGAAUUCCCGAAUUUCCCCCAUUUUCCCCCGUUUCAGGCUGGCGGGCGCUGCCCCAGCUCUGCGGCCGCCUCGCGGUCCAGGAGCCACCGGAGCCGCCCCGAGCGGGGCCGGAGCCGCGCGGCCGGGACGGGCUCGGGGUCCUGCUCCUGCUCCAGGAU
rnacentral:lncRNA from 1 species